AUGCUCAGUGAUUGAAAGCUGCUGCUGCUGCACCGUGUCCUCGCGCUUUGGUUUAUUUACAGUCCUCGCGCUCCGGUUUAUUUAUUGUCCUCGCGCUCCGGUUUAUUCAUUGUCCUCGCGCUCCGGUUUAUUUUCUGAUCUGUAGAAUGGCUUUCUUCGGGAUCACUAAUCUGGGCUAUCAGGACCCGUUCAGAGACAGGACGCUCCCCUCAGCGCUCAGAGCCCGGAGCUCACAGGAAUACUCGAGGUGGGAUAGGCUGCCAGACCUCCGCCCGGUCAGUUCCCAGACACGGCUAAUGUGCACGGACGUGUGCAGUGUCUACAAUCAACCAGUUCCUAUUAGUGCUGAUCUACAUCAUGGCAGUCAGAAGAGAUACAGGGAGAUGAUCAGACGGGUGCAGACUCCCAGAUCACCUAACCAGCUGUACUGUGUGCCUAUAACCGACAACCAGCACUACGGGUGGUGGCUCAUCACGGGAGAACCAAAGACUCAGAAUUCUUGGACUAAGGUCCCACGAUUUCCACGCAAGAGCAGCGAAAUGACCAAGUAUGUAACUUCACAGCUUUUUUAACCAAUAUUCCUUUUAUCCAUUUAGGCAUUCAUGUACACAUUUACACUGGGAUUAGCAUUAUGGAGAUCAACAGUUCUUAAAUUUUUCUUUGAAUUAUAAUAAAUAGCAUCAACGUUCUUUUGCUACCA
rnacentral:lncRNA from 1 species